UGGCGAACGGGUUAGUAACGCGUGGGAGCAUACACAGCACAGGGGGAUAACCAUUGGAAACGAUGGCUAAUACCGCAUACGCCCUAUUGGGGAAAGAUUUAUCGGUGUUGGAUUGGCCCGCGUUAGAUUAGCUAGUUGGUGGGGUAAUGGCUCACCAAGGCGACGAUUUAUAGCUGGUUUGAGAGGAUGAUCAGCAACACUGGAACUGAGACACGGUCCAGACUCCUACGGGAGGCAGCAGUCGGGAAUAUUGUGCAAUGGGGGCAACCCUGACACAGCCAUGCCGCGUGAGUGAAGAAGGCCUUAGGGUUGUAAAGCUCUUUCAGAUGUGAGGAUGAUGACGAUAGCAUCAGAAGAAGCUCCGGCUAACUUCGUGCCAGCAGCCGCGGUAAUACGAAGGGAGCUAGCGUUGUUCGGAAUUACUGGGCGUAAAGGGCGUGUAGGCGGAUUAUCAAGUUAGGGGUGAAAUCCCGGGGCUC
rnacentral:rRNA from 1 species